rnacentral:rRNA from 1 species
UACGUAGGGGGCAAGCGUUGUCCGGAUUUAUUGGGCGUAAAGAGCUCGUAGGCGGUUCGGUAAGUCGGGUGUGAAACCUCCAGGCUCAACCUGGAGUCGCCACUCGAUACUGCUGUGACUAGAGUCCGGUAGGGGGGCGUGGAAUUCCUGGUGUAGCGGUGAAAUGCGCAGAUAUCAGGAGGAACACCAGCGGCGAAGGCGGCGCUCUGGGCCGGAACUGACGCUGAGGAGCGAAAGCGUGGGUAGCAAACAGG